UACGUAGGGAGCAAGCGUUGUUCGGAUUUACUGGGCGUAAAGGGCGCGUAGGCGGCCCGCUAAGUCGAACGUGAAAUCCCCGAGCUCAACUCGGGAACUGCGUCCGAUACUGGCGGGCUUGAAUCCGGGAGAGGGAUGCAGAAUUCCAGGUGUAGCGGUGAAAUGCGUAGAUAUCUGGAGGAAUACCGGUGGCGAAGGCGGCAUCCUGGACCGACAUUGACGCUGAGGAGCGAAAGCCAGGGGAGCAAACGGG
rnacentral:rRNA from 1 species